rnacentral:misc_RNA from 1 species
UGAGAAGAAUUUGCGUGGGUAUUGUCCUCUUUGUUUCCUCUUCCUCUUAAUUGUGUUGUUGCUACAGUACCUAUGGCACUGUACUCAAGAGUUAUCUAAAUAUUUACUUCUUUUUUCCAGCCCCAAUUAAAUCCACAAACCCUAACUCCUUCCCUCCAACUUCAAACCCUUAAAUCUUGUACCCUGGGCAGAACACUCUUAACUUCUUGAUGUAGUUGCAGUCAACGAAAACUAAGGGUGUUUUCGUUAACACUGUUGUUUUUCAGCUUUAAGUUUUAUGGCAACAAGAAAUCAUUUUUGUUCAAUUUCUAGAUUUUCAUAAAACGCUUAUUUUUCUAUAUAAGUUGUAUUUUUGUCUCCUUUAAAUACAUUGUUUAUUAGCUCUAAAUCAACAAUAAACAAGUUUAUUGUCCUUAAUGUUACCAAGUUGCUGGUGCAUCUUUCAUUAAAUCUCAUCCUACCAUUACUUGAUCCAUUCACAAAAUCUUA